CACAACAAGAUGAGGAUGGUCAUUGUCAUUUUCUGAGCGGCGAACGGGCAGAAAGCUAUAAAACAGGAUCAGGAUGGUCAUUAUUCAAGUUCUGAGCUUGAAACGGGAAGAAAGCAAUUCUUGGAGAGUGGUCACUAUCAUUUUUGAAGGCGUGAAUGGCCAGCAAUGUGUGAAACCGUUGAUUUUUGAGAAGGUGAGCAAUGCUGUCAUUUGGAAGCGACCUCUGUAUAUCCAGAUCCAGCAGCAACGUGAGUGGUCGGAUUGACUUGAUCUUCAGUUUGCUGGUAGGGCGCCGGUGCCCGAAUGUAUUGACUUGUAUAAUUCGUCUAAGCUCAAAUUGGUAUGAGUUUAAAGUCCGGAAUCAUGGGACAAGGCCCCAGCUUUUUUUAGCUUAAGGCAGCCCAGAACAAGUUGUUUCUAGCAAUAUGUUUUUUUUCUUUUCUUUUGUUGAAUACCUUUUGCCCUGCUAUUCUUGGAAUGAAGAAUGGUUACUGUCAUCCUGGGAGGCAUAAACAGCCAGGAAUGCAUGAAGACCUCAAUUUUCAUAAACAGCCAGGAAUGCAUGAAGACCUCAAUUUUCAUAAACAGCCAGGAAUGCAUGAAGACCUCAAUUUUUCAUAAACAGCCAGGAAUGCAUGAAGACCUCAAUUUUUCAUAAACAGCCAGGAAUGCAUGAAGACCUCAAUUUUUCAUAAACAGCCAGGAAUGCAUGAAGACCUCAAUUUUCAUAAACAGCCAGGAAUGCAUGAAGACCUCAAUUUUCAUAAACAGCCAGGAAUGCAUGAAGACCUCAAUUUUUCAUAAACAGCCAGGAAUGCAUGAAUACCUCAAUUUUCAUAAACAACCAGGAAUGCAUGAAGACCUCAAUGUUUCAUAAACAGCCAGGAAUGCAUGAAGACCUCAAUUUUUCAUAAACAGCCAGGAAUGCAUGAAGACCUCAAUUUUCAUAAACAGCCAGGAAUGCAUGAAGACCUCAAUUUUUCAUAAACAGCCAGGAAUGCAUGAAGACCUCAAUUUUUCAUAAACAGCCAGGAAUGCCUGAAGACCUCAAUUUUUCAUAAACAGCCAAGAAUGCAUGAAGACCUCAAUUUUUCAUAAACAGCCAGGAAUGCAUGAAGACCUCAAUGUUUCAUAAACAGCCAGGAAUGCAUGAAGACCUCAAUUUUUCAUAAACAGCCAGGAAUGCAUGAAGACCUCAAUUUCAUAA